UCUGGUUGAUCUGCCAGUAGUUAUAUGCUUGUCUCAAAGAUUAAGCCAUGCAUGUCUAAGUACACACGAAUUAAAAGUGAAACCGCAAAAGGCUCAUUAUAUCAGUUAUGGUUCCUUAGAUCGUUAACAGUUACUUGGAUAACUGUGGUAAUUCUAGAGCUAAUACAUGCAAUUAAAACAUGAACCUUAUGGGACAUGUGCUUUUAUUAGGCUAAAACCAAGCGAUCGCAAGAUCGUUAUAUUGGUUGAACUCUAGAUAACAUGCAGAUCGUAUGGUCUUGUACCGACGACAGAUCUUUCAAAUGUCUGCCCUAUCAACUUUGAUGGUAGUAUCUAGGACUACCAUGGUUGCAACGGGUAACGGGGAAUCAGGGUUCGAUUCCGGAGAGGGAGCCUGAGAAACGGCUACCACAUCUAAGGAAGGCAGCAGGCGCGUAAAUUACCCACUCCCAGCUCGGGGAGGUAGUGACGAAAAAUAACAAUACAGGACUCAUAUCCGAGGCCCUGUAAUUGGAAUGAGUACACUUUAAAUCCUUUAACAAGGACCAAUUGGAGGGCAAGUCUGGUGCGCAGCAGCCGCGGUAAUUCCAGCUCCAAUAGCGUAUAUUAAAGUUGUUGCGGUUAAAACGUUCGUAGUUGAACUUGUGCUUCAUACGGGUAGUACAACUUACAAUUGUGGUUAGUACUAUACCUUUAUGUAUGUAAGCGUAUUACCGUGGAGUUCUUAUAUGUGAUUAAAUACUUGUAUCUUUUCAUACAAAAAGUUAAAAUCAAAAUAAAACGAAGAUGGGGCUUGGCAACCUCAUAAAAAGAUUUUAACAUUUCUAAUGUAUGUUGUGCGUAUUUGUGGCGAGUACUUACAACAACGGCGUUUCCUAUAAAAAUAAUGUUUCGAACAUGAAAAUCGAAAAACAAAAUUCGAAAGUGGAAGUCGAAUCAAAAUAAAAUAAUUUCGAAUGUGUGGUAAUCAUCGAAAUAAGUGUUAAUAUAAUUGGUAGAUAUUAACUAAUUUUUAAAAUUUGUGUGUAUUUAUUACUAUACACGCGUUGCGAAUAUGUA
rnacentral:rRNA from 1 species